CAGCCCAUUCUCUGCAGCAAUCUGGUGGGUUAGAGAGAGAAGUUAGAGAGAGAAAGUGGAGGAAUCUAGGUAAGCAAGAAGAGAAGAUGCAGGUCAGAAGACACUUGUUGGGGUCAAUGCUUGAGUUUUGCAUGUGUUGUUGAUUAGAUGCUAUGUUCAGAGUGUUUCGAGGCUUUUGCCUUUGUAUUAUAGGAAAAUUAAAUCAUUUUGAUGGAAUGAUGUAUGUUUUGUUUUUGAACACUUGUAGUAUGAGUUAUCCUUAGUGAACCAUGAGGUUUUGGUAUAUACAGAGUAUUAUUGUAUAGGUUUUCUUUAUGUGAAACAGAUUAUAUUUUGUUAAUUAAUGGUCUCAAGGAUUUAUCACAGGAUA